UACGUAGGCAGCGAGCGUUGUUCGGAAUUACUGGGCGUAAAGAGUGUGUAGGCGGUGCUCCCAGUCUGUUGUGAAAUCUCCCGGCUUAACUGGGAGGGUGCAGCGGAAACUAGAGUGCUAGAGGGUGGGAGAGGUAAGCGGAAUUCCUGGUGUAGCGGUGAAAAUGCGUAGAUAUCAGGAGGAACACCUGUGGUGUAGACAGCUUACUGGACCACUUCUGACGCUGAGACACGAAAGCGUGGGUAGCAAACAGG
rnacentral:rRNA from 1 species